UACCGUAUACGCCCUUCGGGGGAAAGAAUUUCGGUGAGGGAUCGGCCCGCGUUAGAUUAGUUAGUUGGUGGGGUAAUGGCCUACCAAGACUACGAUCUAUAGCUGGUUUGAGAGGAUGAUCAGCAACACUGGGACUGAGACACGGCCCAGACUCCUACGGGAGGCAGCAGUGGGGAAUCUUAGACAAUGGGGGCAACCCUGAUCUAGCGAUGCCGCGUGAGUGAUGAAGGCCUUAGGGUCGUAAAGCUCUUUCGCCUGUGAUGAUAAUGACAGUAGCAGGUAAAGAAACCCCGGCUAACUCCGUGCCAGCAGCCGCGGUAAUACGGAGGGGGUUAGCGUUGUUCGGAAUUACUGGGCGUAAGCGCACGUAGGCGGAUUAGUCAGUCAGAGGUGAAAUCCCAGGGCUCAACCCUGGAACUGCCUUUGAUACUGCUAGUCUUGAGUUCGAGAGAGGUAAGUGGAAUUCCGAGUGUAGAGGUGAAAUUCGUAGAUAUUCGGAGGAACACCAGUGGCGAAGGCGGCUUACUGGCUCGAUACUGACGCUGAGGUGC
rnacentral:rRNA from 1 species